ACAGAAAUGGGUUUGACAGAAGAAGAAAGAAGACAGAGAAUGCAACUGUGCUCUCGGCAUCGAGCAUCUAAUGCUCCACCCCACACACCAGACCAUUACUGGGAGUUAGACUUUCCAGAUACCCAAGAAUGUCAGGAGCGAGGGUAUUUAAAAGAAACUCAGAGAGUACAGUUGAAACCUAGAAGACGACGCCCUCUACAAUAUAAAAACCAGUAAAGAGGUGAUAUUUCUAAUUUUUUUCGUCUGUUGUGCAUGUAACACACAAUGUAGAGAUAGAAAAUAUGUUGGUGAAUGAAUGCUGUGUUUUCGUUUUUAAACUAAAGAAAAUGGGAUUUUACUAACUGAAAUACAGAUGUUCAAGUAAAAACUGUGAGAAAAUACAGAUGUACAGGCACGCCAACGAUAAAAUACAGAUGUUUAAGUAAAAACUGUGAGAAAAUACAGAUGUACAGGCACGCCAACGAUAAAAUACAGAUGUUCAGGCAUGCCAACGAUAAAAUACAGAUGUUCGGGUACGCCAACGAUAAAAUACAGAUGUUCAGGCAUGCCAACGAUAAAAUACAGAUGUUCGGUUAUGCCAACGAUAAAAUACAGAUGUUCGGGUACGCCAACGAUAAAAUACAGAUGUUCGGGUACGCCAACGAUAAAAUACAGAUGUUCGGGUAUGCCAACAAUAAAAUACAGAUGUUCAGAUACGCCAACAAUAAAAUACAGAUGUUCAGUUGUGUGUGGAAUACAGAUUUGGAGUUACAUUUCAGCUUAGUUUUAUGGAAUAGUAAUGUUGGUGAAACACGUCACUAUAGGUGUGUGGAAUACAGAUGGAGGUCCAUUUCAGAUUAAAUAUGUGGGAUAGUAAUGUUGGUGGAACACAUCACUGUAGUUGUGUGUGUGUGGAAUACAGAUGCGGGGGGACCCACUUCAGAUUAAAUAUGUGGGAUAGUAAUGUUAGUGGAACACAUCACUGUAGUUGUGUGUGUGGAAUACAGAUGCGGGGGGACCCACUUCAGAUUAAAUAUGUGGGAUAGUAAUGUUGGUGGAACACAUCACUGUAGUUGUGUGUGUGGAAUACAGGUGUGGGGGGACCCACUUCAGAUUAAAUAUGUGGGAUAGUAAUGUUGGUGGAACACAUCACUGUAGUUGUGUGUGUGGAAUACAGAUGUGGUUAAGACACAUGUUGUGUACAUGGAAUAGAAAUGUGUAUAAGAUACAUUUUAUUGUUGGAGUAUCUUUCCAAUAUAUGUAUUCUCUGGAUUUAUGUAAUAUUAACUAAAUAGUUACACUACACUUAGGGUUUUACUGAAUUAUGUGAUGUUCAUCUCCUACUACAUCAUUAGUUAUUGGGUUCUUUAACAUGUUAAACAACAGUGAUAAGAUUUCUGUCUGGGCACAUCACAUACAAAGGUUAUUUUGACAGUUAUAAAAAUUAGUAAUCAACAUACCAUUAAGUUUGUAGGUAAUCACAUAAGAAAAAUGACGUAUAUCUCAGAGUUCCACUUUUGUGAUUGGAAGGUUUCUUUUCAGUUGUGCGACAUUUUUGAAGAGAUAGUAACCGAAGUUUGAACUUAAUAUAACAGUGUUUCCUUUAUUUGCAUCAUACUAACAGUGUUGUAGCAGAAAUUGAUUGAAGUAUACAGAAUUAGCAUUAUGUAUAUUUUGUGUUUUUUAAUAUUUACAAAGUUUUUGACAAUUUUGUAUUUACCUAGAAACCAGGGAGUUUUCAGGAAGUCAUUUUUAGUAUUUAUUUGGGGUCCACUAAUUAUUUUUACUCUUUUUUUGUUUUAACAUAUGCUUAUAGAUUUUGAGUUUGCUAGACAGCUAAUGAACCCACUCCAUUGUACCUUUACAGUGUUUGUAGCCCUAGUGAGGGGGAAUUGUUUCGUCCAAUUUUAUCAUCCAUGGCAACAUAAAAAGUUGAACAAUGCUACCCACAAAUUGUAUCUAGCAAAGUUAACUGCUUUAACUAUCUUUUGGAUAUUGUUCACCAACUUUUAGGUAGAUUAUGUGUUUAAAUUAUGUUAUAUUUCGUGGCCAGGAGUGGAUUUAGUGGACUCCUUAUGUAUUCUAUUAUAAACAAUCAAAUAUUGUACUAAGAUAACUGUUAUGGCCUAUUAAUGUUGCCUGGUUGAAUAUAUUAUCAUCAACUGUUAAAGGGCAAUUGAAACAUUGUAAUCAACUUGAUUACUUAGAAAAGUAUCUGCAUUAAUGUUGCCUGGUUGAAUAUAUCAUCAUCAACUGUUAAAGGGCAAAUGAGACAUUGUAUUCAAGUUGAUUACUUAGAAAGGUAUCUGCCUCAUUUUUAUAUUUUUUUUAAAAUAGUGUUGUUGAUUUUUUUACUACAACUACAAUUGUGUAACAGUGUAGGUAACGUGCAUCCCCCUGAAGAAACAUGUAUGAGAUCGUGCAUAUAAAACAAAAAACUAUGAAUAAAAAUUAUAACAACUUCAAUUUUG